UACGUAGGUGGCAAGCGUUGUCCGGAAUUAUUGGGCGUAAAGCGCGCGCAGGCGGCCUUUUAAGUCUGAUGUGAAAUCUUGCGGCUCAACCGCAAGCGGCCAUUGGAAACUGGGAGGCUUGAGUACAGAAGAGGAGAGUGGAAUUCCACGUGUAGCGGUGAAAUGCGUAGAUAUGUGGAGGAACACCAGUGGCGAAGGCGACUCUCUGGUCUGUAACUGACGCUGAGGCGCGAAAGCGGUGGGGAGCAAACAGG
rnacentral:rRNA from 1 species